AUUGAACGCUGGCGGCAUACCUUACACAUGCAAGUCGAACGGCAGCACGGGUGCUUGCACCUGGUGGCGAGUGGCGAACGGGUGAGUAAUAUAUCGGAACGUACCUUAUUGUGGGGGAUAACGCAGCGAAAGCUGUGCUAAUACCGCAUAAUCCCUAAGGGGGAAAGCGGGGGACCGUAAGGCCUCGCGCAAUUAGAGCGGCCGAUACCUGAUUAGCUAGUUGGUGAGGUAAAGGCUCACCAAGGCAACGAUCAGUAGCUGGUCUGAGAGGACGAUCAGCCACACUGGGACUGAGACACGGCCCAGACUCCUACGGGAGGCAGCAGUGGGGAAUUUUGGACAAUGGGGGCAACCCUGAUCCAGCAAUGCCGCGUGAGUGAAGAAGGCCUUCGGGUUGUAAAGCUCUUUUGUCAGGGAGGAAACAGCAGCUCUAACACAGUAUGCGAAUGACGGUACCUGAAGAAUAAGCACCGGCUAACUACGUGCCAGCCGCCGCCGUAA
rnacentral:rRNA from 1 species